AAGCGAGACACCAUGCAAAGAAGCCAACGUGGUUUGGCUCUAGCAACCUAGCUUAGCCAAAAACGUAAUCGAGUUGCUUCUUUAAUGUUGAAUUUAAGGUUUUGUUAAGUGUAACAACCGUGUCUGGAUUUUUGUUGUUUGUGAGGGAGGAAUUCGGAGGACCCGGGUUUGAUGUGAUUGGCCGGGAUUUUCUCCGGUUGGUUUUAUGACUACGGUCGGAUUCUGAGAGAGGACGACUGCAGAUCCACUGCGAGCAGGAGGCACAACAGUGGUCGUUGCAGCGGUGCGGAGGAGUGAAGGAUUGGUUCCAUGGAUUUGGAUGCACGCGAUUCUCCACUGGAUAACAGAUAAGCUUAAGCAGACAACCAAUAGGGGGCCCCUAAUUGAACUAAAACUGCGCAGUUGACUGACAGAUAUUUUGACCUUACUGAACUUAAACCAAACGGUUGACUGAAACACUUUUGACUGAACUGAACAUUUCAAGUGAAGAAACUUUAAUCUGUUGCUUCCAUCAGGGAAGAUAAAAAGACCCUGAUAAACUUAAGGACUUUUACUACCCGGGUAGAAAUUUAAAGAGAAGGGUGGACAAUUUUAUUUAUCUAUUUUUUUAUUUUGGUUAUUAUUCCACAAGAGCUGUCAACAGAAAGGGACAAUCCCUAAGUGUAUUUGUGUUAUUGGAAACAAACAGAAGAGAAAUGUGAACUGAAGUUUUAUUUGCUUUUAUUUUGUUAAUAAAUUUAUUUGUGUCCAGCUUAAGAGUGUCACCCCUCCUUUUACUUAAAUCCUCCUGUCAGGCCCUAGGUCGGAAAUAUUGCUGUGUAUUGUUUAAUAGUACUUUAAUACAGGUUACACAUAAUAAUAAUAAUGACAACAAAAACAACAACAAUAUUAUUAAUGCACAUGUAAAGAGGCAAAUUCAGUUUAAUUUGGCUUUUUUCUUACUUCAAUCCUCUGUUGGUCUUGAUUCACGAUCUAUUGGAGCUGAUGGAAUAUUGGCAUAAGAAGUUAACUCAGAAUUGUUCUUUUUUUCAAGCUUUAAAAUGCAGAAGCUGAGGUUUGCUGCAUAGAAGAGACAGAUGCACUUCUGCCAGCAGAAUGAAGACUCCUUCUGCCUCUCUGAGCCUCAACUGUGGGAAAUUACAUUCACAUAUUUAAAGAUUCAGUUCUCUUCUUCCUAGAAGUUUUGCUCUGUCUUUUUAAAGGGGCUGCAGUCAUUUUGGAAGAUGUGAGAUCAUUUAAGGUGUAACUAAACUGCUCCUGCUUUUUUUCUUUCAUUUGAGUUCCAGUUCUAAAACACAACAGAGAAAUAAUCAUGGUUCACUUUAAGUGGAAGAACUGGUUCAGUGAGUCUAAAGGAACAUGAUCACUGGAUUUUUAAAAUGCAGAAGUUGAUGUGUGACGUGUAGACCAUACAGUCAUUGCAUGUGUGAUAAAGCGGCCACAAAAGUGCAGACACACACUCCUCAUGCAGCAGAAUGAAGACUCUGUUUGUCGCUUUGAUCCUCGG